GCGAUGUCGCCCAUGAACCCACCUGGGAACAGGGCGAAAUUAAUAAGGGCGAAGGGUCCUCUUGUGAGAGGGCCGAGUGCGCAUGCAAUCCGAUUAUAUCGCUCUAAUGUCGUUAUAAUAAUAGGAAAUUAACGAAAUUGCCCUAAAAGGGGUGAGCAAAUAAAAAGCGAUUUGCGCUCCAAUUUCGGCCGAAUUUGGUCGAGGUGAGAAGAGCAUGGCCGCCCUUGAUCUGCGCGCUUAUCGCACGGCUGGUGACCCGUGAUGAUCGUGUCAACGUCAUUCCGAAUAUGACAACAUGUCAAUAGAUAACAGCUGUUGUUGAAUUUGAGACAAGUUGUCUGUAAAGAGAGGCGGAUAGCGCGCUUAUCGCCGUUUCUGAUACGAAAAUUCUCGGUACUGUGAUACGUUUUGACCAAAAAGUGCACACAAAGUUGCUCGGAAUUAAUUGGAAGCUUUGAUGGUCAUCAAAGGUAGCGCAGACGAGCCCUUGUAAUCCCAUCAGAUGAUAACGCAGGGCUUCAUUACCUGCAAUCAAUAACCCUGCCAGUACACGCAAAAAGACGACAGUUUUAAUAGUAAGAUUGCGCCGAGUCGUAAACCGGCGAAAUUCUGCAUAAACCUAUUAGUAUAGUGUAAAGUACGUAAAACGCCUAUAAAAACUUCCCCCAGUUCCGUCAUAAACGCACAGACGUCACGCGACAUAAAAUGUUGAUCAUUAUAUUGAUAUGAGAGCGUUUCUCUGGAUCCAAGAGUUAUUGCAGUUGGAAGAGAUUUCGGCUUUGUGUUGUAAAACUGGAUCUACAUGGUGAUGUAUGUAUGCCGGAUCAUGUUACCAUUGUGAGGGAAACGUGUAACGUAUUUGGAUGAAUCGGUGUUGGAAAUGUUUGGAUACAGACCUCAAAAGUGAGCAACAAUUGGGAGUGAACGGAAACUUGUUCCAGAUCUCGCGAGUUUUCGCACUUUUCCAUCAAACUUUAAUUAAUUUUCGCGAUUUCAAAUUAAAGAAAAAUUGGCAUGGUGCCAAGUCAGGUGAAACUGCUGCUCUAAAUUUUACGAUAAUUUUUAAGCGAAAUAGGUAAUAGGUGUGCCAAUCAAGGAAACCAAAGUAUUUUUUUUAUUUCCGAAUUUUAAAUCAAAAAUUGCGCAGUAAAAUCAUAUUUGCGAUUUCCUGUUUUCGAUCUUUAAAAUCACAGUUAACUGGAAUUACCACUGAGUAAUAUCGUAAACAAUAUUAUAAAGAUAAAAACUAUUAAAUAAACGACUACUAGGAGGCGAAAUAAAAUAUUGCAGCACCGUUUUCUUUGUACACUAUAAAGUCUUACAACAGAUAAUGGUGUUAAAAUAAAAAUAUUUACAAUACCGAUCGGUUCGUCUGAAUGACUACAGCCUAUCUGCAAUAAAUCACAAUAAGCUUGCCUGAGUGAUUCGCUUCUUUGCAGUUCUGGUAAACAUAAUAAAAAUUUAAUAAAGAAAACGUUGCUACAAUACAAAGUAGCUCGAUUUUCUGUACUAAUGGAUUAGAACGUCCCACAAAUUAAUUUAAAUUUAACUACUAAUUCACUAGUUGCUUAAAAAAAUUCUUAAUAAGCUGAAAAAAACUGACCUAAAUUAUCAAGACAAAUAUGUGAUAUUUUUUAUUUAAAUAUGCGUUCGGCCCCAUAUUUACCAAAACGCUGCGGAUACGCUAAAGAACAGAGUAACAAAGAAGGUAGUAGAAACAAAAUUCCAACAAAGCCGUGAAGAGAAGUGAAGAGUUCAUUUAAUUUUUUUAGCGGUUGCUGAAUAUCGAGAAAAGAUUUUAGAGCAAUUAAAUGGUUUUUGAAGAAAAUUUAACUUACUACAAUUUUUUGUAUUUUCAAUCACAUUCACAUUUGAAAAAUAUGUGGCACUGUGCAAAUUGGUAAUUUUUUUUAAUUAUAUCUCACUAUUGAGAAUUUAAUGCUCUCCCUGCCUAUAUAUUUUUUUGUUGAUCUUGUGCUAAAAUUUAUCCCAAUGUUCAAUUUUUUAAUUCCAACUUUACAAAUCACUGGAUAAAAAGAUAGCCAGUUUUACUGGAGAUAUGGAGUUAGAAUGCACAAUUAGACUGCCACUUGAUCAUAGAUAUCAUAACCACAAUUAUGGUAGUUACUUAAAUAGUUAGAUUCAAAUUCUUUAAAAUUUAUCCAUUACUUAAUUAUUCAGUCUAUUACUUUACGUGUUUUAAUAUUAAAUUUUCAGUUCGUAUGUUAAAACUACGGAUGUCUAGAGAUUAGGAGAUGAAACUACAUACAAAAAAAACGUUCCCGUUUUCGAUAGUUAGGUUCGAUAGGCCCCAGAUAGCGCAGUUACCCGAUUAUUAGUACAAUUAAUUUGAAAAUAUAUAUAUUUUUAUAAUGGUUAACACAUAGCAAACAAAAAAAUAAAGCAAAAAAAUAAAAAGCAAUAGUGAGGCAUAAACAUAACGCUGAAACUGUGUCGUAGACUAUAUUUAAAAAAAUCAAACUUUUAGUAUUUUUUACUCUGCUCUAAUUUUUCAAAAGCUGCGAUACGGUUACAGAUGUAAGAAAAAUGUU